CUCCACAUUCAGAGCAACACUACAACAACCUCUUUGAUCAUCAUCGAGACAAUCUGCUCAAGUUGUGAAGAUUUGAAGGUGUAAUCACUGUAACCAUGCUGAAGGUCGUGUUUCUUCUUGGAUGCCUCCUGAGCCUCGCUCUGGCUCAUCCUGACAUGGAGCGCAGACGUGUUGCUAGGUCUGACUCUAGCUCUGACUCUAACUCUGGCUCUAACUCUGGCUCUAACUCAAAUGAGGCUACUACUACCACCACAACUGCCUCGCUG